ensembl:snRNA Gm23097 U6 spliceosomal RNA
ACGCCCACUUUGGUAGCACAUAUACUAAAAUUUGAACAAUACAGAGAAGAUUAGCAUGGCCCCUGCACAAGGAUGACACAAAUAUUUGUGAAGCAUUGCAUAUUUUU